rnacentral:rRNA from 1 species
GAGGAAAGUGGGAGGCGUGCCUAAUACAUGCAAGUCGAGCGAACGGACGAGAAGCUUGCUUCUCUGAUGUUAGCGGCGGACGGGUGAGUAACACGUGGAUAACCUACCUAUAAGACUGGGAUAACUUCGGGAAACCGUAGCUAAUACCGGAUAAUAUUUUGAACCGCAUGGUUCAAAAGUGAAAGACGGUCUUGCUGUCACUUAUAGAUGGAUCCGCGCUGCAUUAGCUAGUUGGUAAGGUAACGGCUUACCAAGGCAACGAUGCAUAGCCGACCUGAGAGGGUGAUCGGCCACACUGGAACUGAGACACGGUCCAGACUCCUACGGGAGGCAGCAGUAGGGAAUCUUCCGCAAUGGGCGAAAGCCUGACGGAGCAACGCCGCGUGAGUGAUGAAGGUCUUCGGAUCGUAAAACUCUGUUAUUAGGGAAGAACAUAUGUGUAAGUAACUGUGCACAUCUUGACGGUACCUAAUCAGAAAGCCACGGCUAACUACGUG